GUUUGCUCUGCGACUCUGUUAAAAUAAGUCCGAGGUGACCUUUGUCUAGCAAAGCCCUUCACUUCCCGGCCAGGAUGACAGAGGGUGUGUCUUGACCAGCAGAUGGUGCUCCAGAGCAGGCAGCAAUGUGGGGUUUCUGCCUGGAGCUGGAAAGGCCUGCAUCAAGUCUUCCGGGCUAUGGAUGUGGGUCGGUGGUAGAGUGCUUCCCCAGCAAGCAUGAUGAGGCCCUGGAUUUUGUCCCCAGCAUUGACGAAGUAAAACGCUGAUGUUCAAUGCCAGUCCUGGUAGAAGAAGGAGAGAAGGAGGAGAAGAGAGAGGAAGAAGGGCAGAGGGAAGAAGAGGAGAGGAGGAGAAGGAGGAGGAGUCACAGAAAACAGGUAGGUCUAGAACAAAACAGAGUCAAACAAAUACAGAAAUCUGGCUGGUGACAUUGACUCAACUGAAUAAUUACAUG